rnacentral:misc_RNA from 1 species
UGGGGGGGAGGUUUGCAGCGU